AAACUCAAAGGAAUUGACGGGNACCNGCACAAGCAGUGGAUCGUGUGGUUUAAUCCAAUGCUAAGCGUAGAACCUUACCAAGGCUUGACAUGUUUGAGAAUCUCUGCGAAAGCAGGGAGUGCCGAAAGGAGCUCUUACAAAGGUGUUGCAUGGCUGUCGUCAGCUCGUGUCGUGAGAUGUUAGGUUAAGUCCUACAACGAGCGCAACCCUCACCCGAUGUUAAUAUUCUUCGGGAACUGCACUGCUAAAACGGUGAGGAAGGUGGGGAUGAUGUCUAGUCGUCAUGGCCCUUAUGUCUUGGGCAACACACGCGAUACAAUGGAUAGGACAACGGGUAGCAAUACUGUAAAGUAAAGCCAAUCCUUAAACCUAUUCUCAGUUCGGAUUGAGGGCUGCAACUCGCCCUCAUGAAGUUGGAAUUGCUAGUAACCGUGGGUCAGCAUGCUGCGGUGAAUAUGUUCUCGGGUCUUGUACACACCGCCCGUCACAUCAUGAAAGUUGGGAGUACUCGAAGAUUGGUUGUAACCAGUCGAAGGUAAAACCAGCGAUUGGGAUGAAGUCGUAACAA
rnacentral:rRNA from 1 species